rnacentral:rRNA from 1 species
GCCUAAUACAUGCAAGUCGAACGAAGCUAGUUACAUGAAAGUGCUUGCACCGGAUUGUAACAGUGUUUAGUGGCGAACGGGUGAGUAACACGUAAGCAAUCUACCUUUAAGAAGGGAAUAAUUUCCGGAAACGGAUUGUAAUACCCUAUAGGAUAUUCGAAGGCAUCUUCUGAAUAUUUAAAGGCGUUUAGGUAACUAAUCGUCACUUAAAGAUGAGCUUGCGCCGCAUUAGCUUGUUGGUGGGUAAUGGCCUACCAAGGUGAUGAUGCGUAGCCGGCCUGAGAGGGUGAACGGCCACACUGGGACUGAGACACGGCCCAGACUCCUACGGGAGGCAGCAGUAGGGAAUUUUCCACAAUGGACGUAAGUCUGAUGGGGCGAUGCCGCGUGAACGAUGAAGGUUUUCGGAUCGUAAAGUUCUGUUGUAAGGGAAGAAAAAGAAUGAUAGGAAAUGAUCAUUAAUUGACGGUACCUUACCAGAAAGCCACGGCUAACUACGUGCCAGCAGCCGCGGUAA